GUCCUGCUAUACAAUUUCUCACUACGCACCCAUACGAUCCGUUGUGGCUGGUAUUCGCGAGAUCUAAAUUACGAGACACCUGGUGCCAUCAACCGGAUUAUGAAUGCAACUGCUUCCAUUGUGCAGUUAACAACAUUCGGAUAAACAACCUUAGUUUGUUUUUAACAUAAUGUCGAUAACGAGCGCAACGGAUAACACGUCUGACUACGGAUCAGAAGAUUUCUGGCACGAUCAUAAAUCCUUUUUUUGGUCACUUUGACUGAUUUGACAUUCAUGGGAGGAUCGUCUGAUUGCUAACUGGGUACGUACUUCAUCUUCGAAGAAUUACAGAUGUAUACGUAUAUUUUAUCCUAGAAAAGCAACGUGGGUGCAACAAACAUCACCAAAUUCGGAUUCCUGAGAUCAAAAUACAUGAAGAUAGCGUGAGGAACUCUUAAAAAAAAAAUCUGUGCUUUCGUCUCAGAUUUUAAGAAAAUUCCAAGGCUAUAGGCUUAUCGUUUUUUUCGGCAAAAAUGUAAAAGAUUCUCCAGGAUAAUUCCAGGACGCUUUUUCUACGUAAAAAAGCAUAUCGAACAAGAGGCCGUCAAUGAAAUUGAGCUGGCAUUCGGAUUCCUGAGAUCCAAAUACAUGAGGAUAGCGUGAGGCA